UACGUAGGGGGCUAGCGUUGUCCGGAUUUACUGGGCGUAAAGGGCGCGUAGGCGGCGCGGUAAGUCACUUGUGAAAUCUCUGAGCUUAACUCAGAACGGCCAAGUGAUACUGCAGUGCUAGAGUGUGGAAGGGGCAAUCGGAAUUCUUGGUGUAGCGGUGAAAUGCGUAGAUAUCAAGAGGAACACCUGAGGUGAAGACGGGUUGCUGGGCCAACACUGACGCUGAGGCGCGAAAGCCAGGGGAGCAAACGGG
rnacentral:rRNA from 1 species